UGGUGAGAUAGUGGCUCACCAAGGCGACGAUGCAUAGCCGACCUGAGAGGGUGAUCGGCCACACUGGGACUGAGACACGGCCCAGACUCCUACGGGAGGCAGCAGUAGGGAAUCUUCCGCAAUGGACGCAAGUCUGACGGAGCAACGCCGCGUGAGUGAUGAAGGGUUUCGGCUCGUAAAACUCUGUUGUUAAGGAAGAACACUUGAGGUAGUAACUGGCCUUGAGAUGACGGUACUUAACCAGAAAGCCACGGCUAACUACGUGCCAGCAGCCGCGGUAAUACGUAGGGGGCAAGCGUUGUCCGGAAUUAUUGGGCGUAAAGGGUGCGUAGGCGGCCUUUUAAGUCAGGUGUGAAAGCCCACGGCUUAACCGUGGGAUUGCAUUUGAAACUGGAAGGCUUGAGUAUCGGAGAGGGUAGUGGAAUUCCCAGUGUAGCGGUGAAAUGCGUAGAUAUUGGGAGGAACACCAGUGGCGAAGGCGACUACCUGGACGAAAACUGACGCUGAUGCACGAAAGCUAGGGGAGCAAACAGGAUUAGAUACCCUGGUAGUCCUAGCUGUAAACGAUGGGUACUAGGUGUAGGAGGUUUCGAUACCUUCUGUGCCGGAGUUAA
rnacentral:rRNA from 1 species